UACGUAGGGGGCAAGCGUUAUCCGGAAUCAUUGGGCGUAAAGCGCGUGUAGGCGGUUCCGUAAGUCCGCUCUGAAAGCCCAGGGCUCAACCCUGGGAGGCGGGUGGAUACUACGGAACUGGAGUACGGAAGAGGAGAUUGGAAUUCCUGGUGUAGCGGUGAAAUGCGCAGAGUAUCAGGAGGAACACCAACAGCGAAGGCAGAUCUCUGGGACGUUACUGACGCUGAGACGCGAAAGCGUGGGGAGCAAACAGG
rnacentral:rRNA from 1 species